GUUCAUUGGUUCUAGAUCUGGUUGGGGGAAGGGGAUGAGGCAAGAGUUCCCCCUGGGGAGGAAGUUGUCAAGGCUAUAGAGGAGGUGGCCAGAAAAUCCAGUGAAGUGAAGCAUAGCUGGGGCUUUUCCUCAAAUAGUGGUCAGGGAGAGGCAAUCACCAAUCAGGUCUCUCUAUCUAACCUAGGCUGCCUGCUGGCCCCUCACUCUUGGGGGCUCACCCUACUGGAGCCAGACUUAGUGUGGACACCCAAUCAGCUGCAGCCCGACUGCAGAACUCCCAGACUCAAGCAGCCCCCAGGAACAGGGAAAGUAAGGCAAGCACAUGGCACAGUGCGGCACAUAGGAAACGCUUAACAAAUGUUUGUUGACUUAAUUACACCGGACAAAUGGAAAAGUGGACACCAGGAGAGGCAUCAAGUCACUCCAAGAGAACAACCCUCUACUUUCAUCAAAACACCUGGGCAGUACGUCAACCCCAUGAUGCUUUGGUAGGAUCACAGGCCGCAGGAGGGACCUCAGGACAACCAGUCCAACCCUUGCUUUUGAGAGAUGAGGAAACCGAGGCCCAAAGUCAUAUGAGCAGUAAGACACAGGCGAGCAAGACGACGACGAGCACUGGUCAGUCUGGCUUGGACCGGGAAUAGUAUGGUGCAGGGGAAAGAGCACUUGCUUGGCAGUCAGAGACCCUGGGCUCCAGUGUCAGCCCCGAGCUCUGAGGUUUCCCCCUCUCUAGGCCUCAGUUUUCACAUCUGUAAAAUGAGCUCUAGGGAAGUUUGGAAGAGGGGCAGACUUGGAGGGAAAGACAACCAAGGUCACACUCAGAUACUGAGUUUAAAGUGUCCCUGGAACGUCCUAGUUGAGGUGUCCAGGAGGCAACUAGAACUUUAGGCCUAGGGCUCAGGGAGGGAUUGGAGGCAGCUACGUAGACCUGAAAAUUACCAGCAAAGAAAAGAUUGGGGAAGCUGCAGGAGAGAGUGUAGAGAGAAGAGAAGGCUCAGGACAGAGCCUGGGGUAACACCCAUAGAUGGAAAAUGGGAGCAGGGAAGGACACGGGGAAGUAGGUAGUGAAGUAGGAGGGGCCCAGGAGCAAGAGGCUCACAAAAGCCAAGGGUGGAUAGAGUGUCCAGGAAGUUGUAGGGCAUCACUCAAAUGCUCUCUUGUCCUUUUUCCUUGUUCUGCCCCAAUUCCACCCUCCAUCCCACUCUUCUUCCCACCCUCCAUCCCAACCUCCUUCUCAUCCUCCAUUUCAUCUUCCA